AUAGAAGCCUCCUCCAGUGAAGCAGCAGCCCCGGCACUGGGCCUGCAGUGGAGAACGGGAAUGAGAGAACCCCCUGGAGUGGGCUGGAGAGGAUGCAGUGCACGGAGAGCACCUGGGGCAGGGCCGGCGCCCAUGGCAUAAGACGUGCUGCUGCUCCUCUCCCGCGGGGCCCAUGGAGAUGGCUGGAAGCAGCCCAACGUCAGGGCAGGUGAAUGGCAUGAGCACGCAUGCUGGGCAUAGCCGGGUACAACUAUGAGGAGGCAUGAACAGCUAUAAGUGCCGCUUGGUGACAGGUGGCCUAGCUGGAAUCCCGGCUCUGCCAGCCACAAGCUGUGGGACUGUGGGCCAGUGGCCCCAUCUCUCUGUGCCCCACCUUAUUCACCUGUACAACAGGAUGAUACUGACAGUACCUGUGUCUCGGCUGUUAUGAAGGUGAAAGGAACACAUCCAAGGGCUGUUCCCAGAGGCCGUGAAUUCUUUGGUACUUUUGGCUUCUGCCCAGGCAGCAAAGGAGUUGCAGGUAGCCACAGAAGGCUGCCAGAUCCCUACCUUGACACUCACAUAAGAGAAGAGUGAAGUUUCGGGGACUCCACACCUCAAGGUAGUUCCACCGCGCGAGGUGCUGAGCUCACAGUAUUACUCAUGCACCUUUCUGAUAAGAAAAGUGAAAACGUGAAGUUGAAAACUGAAGACGCCCAGCAACUUCCUGAAUCCAGCUCUCCACGUCCUGCCCUACGGGACAGACGACUCCCAAAGAGGAAUCAUUGGUGGAAGUCCCAUGUUUCGUUGGCGUUGGAAGGGGGAACUGGUCAAGGGCUCAUCUCUGGACCCACACCCCAUAACCAACAUGGAAGCCUGGAUUUGGCCCUGGAUCAGGCUGACUCCCCAGGGAAGGGUCCAGUCUCUCCGGGGAGACAUCCCGACUUCGGGUCCUGCUUUCUCUACUAUAAUUCGAGGCCAGCCAUGCCCCUCAGUGGGCCUCAGUUUCCUCACCUGUACAGUGGGGAAAUCCAUAGGACCUACCUUCUGGGAGGGCACUGAGGACCAAGGGAAUGAAUGCCUGUCCAGUGCUCAUGAUCGUGACAAGCACGGCGCAGAAUCAAUCCGGAAUAAAUGCUUACUGGUGAGCGAUGGCAGGGAAGGUUUCUAAAAACCCCCUGAUUUGAGAUGAGAUCUGAUUCACCCACUUAAAAAACCAUAUUGGGAAAUAAUUCGAAAUGUACAGGAAAGUUAUAAGAAUCGCACAAAGAAUACUCCCAAACGUUUUGCCCAGAUUCACCUGUUUUCUACGGCAACUUUGAGGUAGAAUUCACACGCCAUACAGUUGACCCAUCUCAAGUGUACAAUUCAAUGGCCUUUCAUAGUCAGAGUUGUGCAACUGUCACCAGAGUCAAUUUUAGAACGUUUUCAUCACUCUCCUCCCACAAAAAAACCCCUCACAUCCCUUGGCUGUCACUCUGCACCUAUUAAUAUUUUUUUAAGU
rnacentral:lncRNA from 1 species